rnacentral:lncRNA from 1 species
AAGACAUCAACAUCACCAGCCCGUACCUCGAUGCCCACAUACCAAGUGUCAAGUUCUUCUGCAAGAGUUUUGGUAUGCAUGACUGUCGCUACAAGAGGGAUGUUCAAAAAGAUCACGUGUGGGAGAACGGAACACCGCUUCUCUCUCUAGUCGAUGACCGAAAGGCGAGGGUCCUCAUCACGACCAUGAGGAACUUCAACAAGUUUCACGCUGCCUCCUAUUGGUGUGGUGUAGAAAUGAACUGGGACACAAAUGGAUACUUGGCUCUCUUUAAUCACGUUCAGCUCACACUGAAAGAUUGGACCACUACAACACUGCCGACACCAUCACCAACCCCGUCAACGUCUUCUUCAUCUGACAUAAACGAGUGUGACACAGACCCAGGCAUCUGCGGCUCAGAGUCGGAGGGCAACUGCAUAAACACACAGGGAAGUUACACCUGUGCAUGUCAUCCUGGUCACAGCAACUAUGGCAACAGACAGGGCAGGUGCACAAGUGAGUAGUGUCUCUGUCUCUCCAACUGUAUAUACAGUACUUAGCCGUGAUGUGCCAUUCUGUUG